GACGAACGCUGGCGGCGUGCUUAACACAUGCAAGUCGAACGGAAAGGCCUGUCCUUCCUUGUGUUGGACGGGUACUCGAGUGGCGAACGGGUGAGUAACACGUGAGUGAUCUGCCCCCAACUUGGGUAUAAGCCUGGGAAACUGGGUCUAAUUCCCGAUAGGACUGCAGGGUGGUGCCUGUGGUGGAAAACGAUUUUCUAGUGGUUGGGGAUGAGCUCGCGGCCUAUCAGCUUGUUGGUGGGGUAAUGGCCUACCAAGGCGGCGACGGGUAGCCGGCCUGGGAGGGUGGACGGCCACAUUGGGACUGGGAUACGGCCCAGACUCCUACGGGAGGCAGCAGUGGGGAAUAUUGCACAAUGGGCGGAAGCCUGAUGCAGCGACGCCGGGUGGGGGAUGACGGCCUUCGGGUUGUAAACUCCUUUCGACCGCGAGGAAGCCGCCUGGUUGGAAGGGUGGUGACGGUAGUGGUAGAAGAAGCACUGGCUAACUACGUG
rnacentral:rRNA from 1 species